AACGGACGCUGGCGGCGCGUCUUAAGCAUGCAAGUCGAACGGCAAGAUUGGUGCUUGCACCGAUCCUAGAGUGGCGGACUGGUGAGUAACGCGUGGGUGACGUACCCUAAGGAUGGGGAUAGCUGGUAGAAAUAUCAGAUAAUACCGAAUAUCCUUAUUGUUGUUAGAGGACAGUAAGGAAAGGAGCUUUGGCUUCGCCUAAGGAUCGGCCCGCGUACUAUUAGCUAGUUGGUGAGGUAACGGCUCACCCAGGCGACGAUAGUUAUCCGGCCUAAGAGGGUGAACUGACACAUUGGGACUGAGAUACGGACCAGACUCCUACGGGAGGCAGCAGCUAAGAAUAUUCCGCAAUGGAGGAAACUCUGACGGAGCGACGCCGCGUGGAUGAUGAAGGACGGAAGGUUGUAAAAUCCUUUUAAGCAAGAAGAAUAAACUUUACAGGGAAUGGUAGAGUGGUGACGGUAUUGCUUGAAUAAGCAACGGCUAAUUACGUGCCAGCCGCCGCCGUAAAAC
rnacentral:rRNA from 1 species